AUUGAACGCUGGCGGCAGGCCUAACACAUGCAAGUCGAACGAGUGGCGGACGGGUGAGUAAUGUCUGGGAAACUGCCUGAUGGAGGGGGAUAACUACUGGAAACGGUAGCUAAUACCGCAUACCAUUGGAUGUGCCCAGAUGGGAUUAGCUAGUAGGUGGGGUAACGGCUCACCUAGGCGACGAUCCCUAGCUGGUCUGAGAGGAGGACCAGCAACACUGGAGCUGUGACACUGUCCAGCCUCCUACGAGAGGCAGCAGUUGGGAAUAUGGCACCAUUGGCGUAAGUCUGAUGCAGCCAUGACGCGUAUAUGAAGAAGGCCUUCGGGUUGUAAAGUACUUUCAGCAGGGAAGCGUUGACCGCAAAAGAAGCGCCGGCUAACUCCGUGCGAGCAGCCGCGGUAAUAC
rnacentral:rRNA from 1 species